CACUCUUCUUUGGCUUCCUGAAGCUGGGGGGAUGUGCUUGGUGCCUGGACAAACUUCACUUCGCCUUCGAUGGUGGCCUUCUUGAGCCCUGUCUUACAAAAAUCUAGGGCAUUUCAGAACUUCGAGGAAUGAAGGAAGGCAGCCCAGGGUUGAAGGCUAAGGCAUCAGAAGAUGCUGAAAUUCCCACAGAUCUGUUUAUGAAAUCUAGAAGAGAGGCUCAGAGAGAACAAAGAAGUUGGAGAAGAAAAAAGCUAAAAAUUCCCCUUAAAUGAAGGGUCUCACUGGCUUGGAAAUGCUUUAUGAAUACUGGGCAGAUCCAGCCUCGGAGUGAUCCUUGUUGUGGCCGAUGCUUCCAUCAGGUACAACUGAUUCACAAA